CCUUCGCAGUGGACGGUUCAACUGUCCAUGAUAAAAUCUCGCUUUCCAUUGGCUGAAAUGAGUGCAGAGGCGGAACGAGAAGCUCUUUCCCUAUUGGCGGGCAGCGCGAUGCGUUCAGAAAAUCGACGGGACGGGGAGGAGGGGCACAGAGGGCUCCGAUUGGCUGCGCCCGGCGAGAGUAGGCGGGGCUCGGCUGGAAGCCUUCUACGCAGCGCCGUAAGUCCGCAAUUCCCUCAAUAGCGCCGGUUCGAAUCCCGCGUCCCCGACCGUGCCUCGCUGAGCUUAGAUGACAAGCCUGGCACGGUCAGCACGCAGUGACUGCUCUGGGAGUCGUGGCAAGUAAGAAGUACAGGAGAAAAGGCCUUUUCCUGCUGCAGAAGGUCAUAAAAUGGAAGAAGAAUUUGCAGCAGCACAGGAAUAAGUGAAGUCAAGGUCAAAGUUGGCAGCUGAUAGAAGCAGAUGUUCAAGCAAGAAAUGUAUGAGACCAGCAACCAAAUGUAGUUCCUCUUCAUUGUCUGCUUUCAGGCUUGCAUGAGUUUGUGAGGAGAUGAGACAAAGCUAGUGCAUAGAAAGCUGUACAGAUCCCCAGACACCCUUAGGAUUCAAGCAUUGAUCUUUCUGUGUUGUUUUCUGUUGGUGAGAAGAACGAGCUGCACCCACAUGCGUGUGCUAGAGUAGCAACAAAGCUCCAGAGGAGAAAUCAGUCUAUGUGAUGACUUCUCCACCCUGUAAUUCAGCCUCUUUUUGUCCCAAGAUAAUUUAAACAUUCGUCUUGGUCAGCUCUGUGUGGAGACAGACUACAGCACAAGUUUAUAAGGUUAUGAGCAUGAGUUUAUCUAAAUACUAGACGGUGUUGUUUCUAAACUUUGUAAGACCUAAGUCAUCUAAAGUGGGGCCACUAAAUCUAUCCAUCUCCUCCUUAGUUCUGAUUCAUUGCCUACAGGUAACUCCCAGUUACCUAGUUCUAAAUACUCCCCUACUAACUAUGCUCUUUGGUGUGCUAGAAUCUAUUCUCAUCUUUGUGGGCCAUGUAAUUAGAACACUUUUUCUAUCAUUUUCAUCGACUUCCCUGUGAGAAUGAUGUGAUUUGAAGGUCAGCUUUUCUGCAGACCCACUUGUGCUGUAAGAAAUUCUGCGUGCCACUGCAAAGUGAGGCUGGGAUUCCUCAGUGUUCACCAGCACAGGGAAGAACUUAUUUUUCAACAUUUCAGUGAGAUAUUAAACAACAAAUGUCUGUACUUCCUACCAGAGAAACUUAGGAACUCUGCAUUCUCACUUCAUAACAGCCACUAUGAAGAGGAUUAUCGAUUGAAGUCAGAUGAGAUCCACAGAGGGGAGACAACAAGCCCCAUCUGCCCGCAUGCAUCCUGUGUUUUGGAGUGGCAUUCUGCUAGAAGUUCUGGUGUUUCUUUCCAGGAAGGGCUGCUUUCACACCCUCCGUGUUGCAAGAGCUGGGCAGGAUUGCUUAUUUUCCAUCGGCUCUUGUUGUGCUUGGAUCAGUCAGCCUUAGGGACCGGGAAGCGCACGGUGCAUGAAGCUCAGCUUUUGUAACUGAUAAUUUGGUUUGGAAAUGUUAUCCAAACAAACAGCAGGAUGAGAGUUAAGACCUGUGCAGAAUCUGCUCCGUCAGAAACGAGUUCAGAGUCAGUUCUGCCUGCCUAAACAUUUCGCCCAACAGCUCAUCAAAAUGGAAAUAUUCAAAGGAGACUUUUCCCCCCCGAUUAGAUCGUUCCUUUGAUAAGAGCAUUAACGAGCAUAUUUUCCCAUAAAUAAAAUGAACAAGCCUCGAGGGCAGGGAAGGUUGUUUCGCCUGCAAUGAGUUAUGUGCCACGCUCAUCCUUUUGCUGCUAUGGGAAUCACUUUGCCCCUUUGCUGCAGCUGGGAACAGCCUGAGAGCAGCCUCAGUGCAGCAGAGCUGACAACAUGGGCUCUCUUUCAGCUGUAGACAUCUAGUUCUUGCAGCUUUAUUUCAGGUAUAACCCCAAAAGCUGCUCAGAGCAGUGCCAGCACCCAGCACAGCCCCUCAGUGACAUCGGUGACACAGGAGAGGACAGGCAGUGCUCCUGGCAGCCUGUUUGUUUGAGCUUCACGCGGCCUCAUGCUUUCUAUCUGUGAGCUCCUGUGGUUGAACCAAUAUUGACUCAAGGCUGUGUGUACAGAGCUGGUCAGCAAUUCCCCCAGAGCUGCAGCCGACCGUCGGGCAGCUCAGUGGGAUGCUCAGCAGUUCAGGAUGGGGACAGUUAUAAAGAAUGAAAAAUGCUCACGAAUUUCAGACUGCUGAGCCCAUUUUCAGACUUCCAGUCCCCAGGUGUGAGCCCCAGGGUGUCCUCACACUUGGAGUUUGGAAGUCUGAAAGUGAUGGCAGCUCUAUUAUGCCAACAGAAUUCCAGUUUUCCCAGAGGUUUCCACUGAUGGAGCUGCCUUAGGUACACAUUAACUUACACUGCCUCCUGCUUGUCAUUAAUGAGAGCUCCAGAACAUGGUCCUUCCAUCCACCAAAGUGCACUUCCACACAGUGCUCUGUGUGUGCUGUAACUCCCAUACAACCGAGGUGCUGGGAGAUAAAGAGGUGCCAUAAAGAAAACAGGAAGCCUUGACAUGACUGUUCUAAUUGGACUAGUCACCCGAUUUGUUUAAUUUCCUGCUUACUGUGACUUUUACUAAUUGGAAAACCUACUGCUCAGGAGUGCAUGCAAGGAAAGAGAGCAGCUGUUACAGAAAAUAAACUGUCUGUGCAAGGAGUAUUUCCAAAAUUUGGAUUUGGGGUGUUUUAGCCUCUGAAGUUGUGGCUCAGUCCUCUCUUGGGUUCAUUUCUCUGGCUAAUUUUGGGCUGGUUGCUGGGUGUAUCUUAAUACGUUGCAUGCAGCUUGCAGUGUGCCCUGCUGUCACGCAGCACUGGGUUUCUUCGUGUACAAUUUCUGAUUUCCUUGGUGUUCCCAGCUGCAUCUGCUGCCCUGUGUCACUGGGUGGGGAAACUGAGGCAGGGAUGAAGAACUGUGUGGAGGUAAAGCUCCUCCAGCCUCAAAUCCUACAGAAAAAAUGCACUAUUUGAGGCUUUUUUUUAACCUCUUGCUUUGUUUUUUUCAUCAUCCUACUGACCUCAGAGUACCUUUGGAAUAAGCAAAAUGUUUUCUUGAGCCUAAAUUAUCUGUCCUUAUCUGCCUCAAACCUCAUUGAUAAUCCUCUUUGUUGCCUUUAAAAAUAUUCCUGGGAGAUUAUUCUUUGGCAAUGAUGGUUAUGUGUAGUUCUCUUUUAUAUUGCACUCAGCUUUUCUUUCAAUAGCUUCCUGAUGUCUUGCUGCUUGGUAUUGUUGGGUGGAUGUACUGUGGUUUCGGAUUUGAAAUGAGCUCAGAAAUACUCUUCCCUGCGGUAAGAGGAUGCUAUUUUUCCCAUGAAAUGUUGCAGAGACAGCCAUCAAAUAUUGAUUUAUUCAAAAUUGGGUUUUCUCUUUUCAGUGCUCUCAUGGUGAUGCAGAUUGACAUUGCUGCUGCCCGUGCUGCAGCUCAGGCUUUGUCCAGCAGCACCAGUGGGAUGCAACAAGGAAAGGACUGACCAGGAGCAGCAGAACUGGAUGGUAGCAGAAAUGUCAGCAGGAUGCUUGGGUGCAGGAGGGAGUGCAGGUGAGCAGGGCAGCAGAGCCCCAUGGCCAGGACACAGCAGGACUGUGCUGGUCGCAGUGCUGGGGAACAGGGAGGGACACACGGAGGUGGUGGAGGUAGGGAUGAGAAACCUCUGCUCUGUUUUUCCCACUGCUCUGCCUUGUUAGCCCUAUUCAUAGGGUGCCCUUCCAUGCAGCACCUGGGAUUUUAACUUUUAUUUUUGGAAAAUUGUUCACUUCUUGGAGCUGCCAUGGAGCAGUUAUUCACCCUUUCUCCUCCCCUCGUGACAUGGAAAGAAAUUCCCACGCAGCAGCGCAUUGCCCUGCAGCCGGAGCCGGGCUCUGCCCCACAUCACAACCUGCCCCAUCUUGUCCUUAACUCCCAGCCUGGCUGCACUGCUCAUCCACCUGCAUGGUGCCGCGCUGCCUUUGAUUCCUCCCCGAUGAGAUCAUCCACCUCUCAGCACAAAACACACUGAGCGGUGUAGUCCUCCUGGCAUGGGCUGUUUCACUGUUUCACUGGACUCUUUCAUUCUCUUGCUUAUUCCCCACUGGGCCUUCACAUCUUCUGUUUCUUCUCUUGGUAAAUGAAAAACAGCCCAGUGGUGGCAAUGGUGCAGUUUGGGAGCAUUUGGGGGUGGCUGCUGCACACAUUAAUGGUGAGAGCUGCUGCUCCAAUCUCAGCAGUCCUACAGCACCCAGCUAUCGAUCAAAGCACUGCAGGUGCAGAGGCAGAAGGGACCAGCGAGAUGCUGGGGGUCAUUGUCACCCGGAUUCAGGGUGGUGUGGGGUUCAUCAGGUGCUACAUGAGACUGAGAAUGGGCAUGGGGAGGUGCUCACCCCACUCUCUGCAGGAAAACAGGUGAUUAAAGGGUACUGCCUUGUGCUUGUCUCUCUUUUGCUCUUAAAACCCCAGAUCUCAAGAAUAAGUCAUCCUUAGAAUCACAGAAUCAUUAAGGUUGGAAAAGCCUUCUAAGACCACCCAGUCCAGCUGCCCACCUACCCCAGUACUGCCCAUCACUGCCUCAUGAUGGGCUCAGGGAUGGGGACUGCUGUGCCCAGUGCUGCUGCACUACUUCCUAUGAAAAUAAAACCCUCGCGAUUUCAAGUGGCCAAUUUGGGGCCUGACUCAGGGCUGGAGGAGGAAAUUCCUUCAGGCUGUUGUUUGUGUUUUCCUAGAACAGGAAAAAAAAAAAAAAUACACAGCAAGAAGCCUCAGCCAGCUCUGCUUUCCCACUGCACAUAUUGGGCCAGGAGGAGGGACAGAAGGGAUGGAAUCCUGGAGCUGUGGUGUGGACGUGCAUCCCUUCAGGGAUCCUUUGUGCUCCUGAGGCACCACUCGAGGGCAGCCAUGCUUCAAACACAGCAGCAAUGCCAGGAACCUUGUGGUUGGGAUGGGCUCUGUGCAUCCAUCUCCUGCUGUGGGGAGCCUCAAGGUCCUGCCCUGACCAAAAUCCCACUCCUGGCUUCUGUGCUGUGGGUUUUCUUCCUGAGAUUGAGCCCAACCUAAGCUAUCCCUAGCUGCAGGUUGGAUGCUGAGGUGGAUUGGCUCCUCUGGGUUGAAAAGAGAAGGGUCUGUGGUCAGUGCAAACCCUGCUAGUCAUGUCACUGUGCUAUACUGGGGAGAAAACAGCAUGAAAGCCACUGCAGCACUUCAACCUCAGCUGGAGGUGCUCAUGCAGGUCCCUUCAGAGACAGGCAGCCAUGUGGGAUGGAGCCUGUGGUUCCAUGACCUUCAAGGCCCCUUCCAACCCAAACCAACCAUUCCAUGUUUCCACGAUCUUUAAGGCUCCUUCCAACCCAACCCAACCAUUCUGUGGUUCCAUGAUCUUUGAGGUCCCUUACAACUCAAUCAUUCUACGGUUCUGUGAUCUUGAAGGCCCCUUCCAACCCAACCAUUAUAUGAUUCUACGAUUUUCAAGGCCCCUUCCAACCCAAACCAUCCAUGGUUCUAUGAUCAUGGUCCUUUUUGAUGCCAAAGAAAGUGGAAAUCAAGCCUUUCCAGCCUUCUUCCACUAUCACAGAGAAACAAAGAAACAAGUAGUGAGCAGGCAGGAGAGCACAGCCUGGCACAUGAGAUUUGCAUGUGAUUUCUGAACUCUGCUGACUUUUAACUUGGAAAUUUCUAAUCUAAUAAAGGAAAGGAGAAAUGGGGAACAGCUGGUUGCUCUUGAAAUUAGUUCCUGGUCCCACCAGCACUGCCUGGUGCUGUUCUUGGUUCCAUGGCAUGGAUGAGGUGUAUGGUGGGACCUGUCCCUGUCACCAGGCAGCACCUUCAAGGAUGUUUUAUUUGGGAUGUCAUGUCCCAACAGUUACUUGCUCAUGCUCUACUCAGAGCUACUGAUGGCUUGAAGUCUUCAAAGAGAAUAAUGAUUAGCCCCAAGCAGCACUGAGCUGUGAGAAAAUGUAUAAUGGGACGAUUAUCAAGUGAAGCUGAGACUAAAAGUGGCGUUUAAUGGAAUCUGGCACCUCAUGUUCCAGCUGACCUGAAUGCUGCUCCUUCUGCCAGGCAAAUGGAGUAAAAACCUCUGGGAUUCGUAAAUCAGAGUAUUUAGGUUACACGUGGAUUAGGGUGUGAUCAGACAGUGCAGAGCUGCUCUGGAUCAUAUGGGAUCACCGAGGGCAGAGGGGCCCAUUUGGUACCAGCCGUGAGCAUCAGCUUGUGCUUAGGAUGCUCCAUUUCUCACUGGAUCUCUCUGUGUCAGGAAGCAUUACCCAACCACACAGUAACACCUGGUGGCACAAAGCCACAGGAACGUCUUGCUUCCAAAACGCUGCGGGCUUCCAAUUAAUGGCACUGAGACAAGGAGAUUGCUCGCCUUGAUUCAUCUCAAAUCAUCGGUGAUGAGAGAUGUGUGAUUUGACGGGAGAGGCACAGCUGGCAGACAGAAAACGUCUCUUUGCUUCCUGUAACUUCUCAAGCACUCCCUAAUGAAGACGGUGUCCAUUUGUUUGCAUCACCCCAUGGCUGUGCGAGGGCA